UACGGAGGGUGCAAGCGUUAAUCGGAAUUACUGGGCGUAAAGCGUGCGCAGGCGGUUUGUUAAGUCUGUUGUGAAAUCCCCGAGCUCAACUUGGGAAUUGCAAUGGAUACUGGCAGGCUGGAGUAUGGUAGAGGAAGGUGGAAUUCCCGGUGUAGCAGUGAAAUGCGUAGAGAUCGGGAGGAACACCAGUGGCGAAGGCGGCGACCUGGGCCAAUACUGACGCUGAGGUGCGAAAGCGUGGGGAGCGAACAGG
rnacentral:rRNA from 1 species